CCAUUCAACUCACAGUCUCCAGGACCAAUAAAGAAAACGUAAAUGUGAUCCUCUCCGGCAAACACAACAUUGGAAGAGAGAGAACAGAUUCAAAGAUCGAUGCUCUUCUGUCUACAGCACAGGCUGUAACUCUGCUCCUGUUCCCCAUGCCCAGAGAGGAAAUAUAAUACCUCUAUAGAGGGGACAACUUGUGUACACCAUACACCAGCUCCCAGGGAAAUGAUAAUACACACAAAUGAAAAGG
rnacentral:lncRNA from 1 species